rnacentral:rRNA from 1 species
GGCGGCGUGCUAUACAUGCAAGUCGAGCGGACAGAUGGGAGCUUGCUCCCUGAUGUUAGCGGCGGACGGGUGAGUAACACGUGGGUAACCUGCCUGUAAGACUGGGAUAACUCCGGGAAACCGGGGCUAAUACCGGAUGGUUGUUUGAACCGCAUGGUUCAAACAUAAAAGGUGGCUUCGGCUACCACUUACAGAUGGACCCGCGGCGCAUUAGCUAGUUGGUGAGGUAACGGCUCACCAAGGCAACGAUGCGUAGCCGACCUGAGAGGGUGAUCGGCCACACUGGGACUGAGACACGGCCCAGACUCCUACGGGAGGCAGCAGUAGGGAAUCUUCCGCAAUGGACGAAAGUCUGACGGAGCAACGCCGCGUGAGUGAUGAAGGUUUUCGGAUCGUAAAGCUCUGUUGUUAGGGAAGAACAAGUGCCGUUCAAAUAGGGCGGCACCUUGACGGUACCUAACCAGAAAGCCACGGCUAACUACGUGCCAGCAGCCGCGGUAAUACGUAGGUGGCAAGCGUUGUCCGGAAUUAUUGGGCGUAAAGGGCUCGCAGGCGGUUUCUUAAGUCUGAUGUGAAAGCCCCCGGCUCAACCGGGGAGGGUCAUUGGAAACUGGGGAACUUGAGUGCAGAAGAGGAGAGUGGAAUUCCACGUGUAGCGGUGAAAUGCGUAGAGAUGUGGAGGAACACCAGUGGCGAAGGCGACUCUCUGGUCUGUAACUGACGCUGAGGAGCGAAAGCGUGGGGAGCGAACAGGAUUAGAUACCCUGGUAGUCCACGCCGUAAACGAUGAGUGCUAAGUGUUAGGGGGUUUCCGCCCCUUAGUGCUGCAGCUAACGCAUUAAGCACUCCGCCUGGGGAGUACGGUCGCAAGACUGAAACUCAAAGGAAUUGACGGGGGCCCGCACAAGCGGUGGAGCAUGUGGUUUAAUUCGAAGCAACGCGAAGAACCUUAUCCAGGUCUUGACAUCCUCUGACAAUCCUAGAGAUAGGACGUCCCCUUCGGGGGCAGAGUGCACAGGUGGUGCAUGGUUGGUUCGUCAGCUCGUGUCGUGAGAUGUUGGGUUAAGUCCCGCAACGAGCGCAACCCUUGAUCUUAGUUGCCAGCAUUCAGUUGGGCACUCUAAGGUGACUGCCGGUGACAAACCGGAGGAAGGUGGGGAUGACGUCAAAUCAUCAUGCCCCUUAUGACCUGGGCUACACACGUGCUACAA